rnacentral:rRNA from 1 species
UGGGGAAUAUUGCACAAUGGAGGGAACUCUGAUGCAGCGACGCCGCGUGAACGAAGAAGGCUUUCGAGUCGUAAAGUUCUUUUAUAUGGGAAGAUAAUGACGGUACCAUAAGAAAAAGCCCCGGCUAACUACGUGCCAGCAGCCGCGGUAAUACGUAGGGGGCUAGCGUUGUCCGGAAUCACUGGGCGUAAAGGGUUCGCAGGCGGAAAUGCAAGUCAGGUGUAAAAGGCAGUAGCUUAACUACUGUAAGCAUUUGAAACUGCAUAUCUUGAGAAGAGUAGAGGUAAGUGGAAUUUUUAGUGUAGCGGUGAAAUGCGUAGAUAUUAAAAAGAAUACCGGUGGCGAAGGGGACUUACUGGGCUCAUUCUGACGCUGAGGAACGAAAGCGUGGGUAGCAAACAGG